AGAGUUUGAUCCUGGCUCAGAAGGAACGCUGGCAGCGUGCAUAACACAUGCAAGUCGAACGAUGAAGCAUUCUUCGGAAUGUGGAAGAGUGGCGUACGGGUGAGGAACACGUAAGAAUCUGCCCCUCGGUCGGGGACAACUCUUGGAAACGAGAGCUAAUACCCGAUACGCUGUGGAGUGAAAGAAUUUCGCCGAGGGAUGAUCUUGCGUCUGAUUAGCUAGUUGGUACGGUAAUGGCGUACCAAGGCGACGAUCAGUAGCUGGUCUGAGAGGAUGAACAGCCACAUUGGAACUGAGACACGGUCCAAACUCCUACGGGAGGCAGCAGUGGGGAAUUUUCCGCAAUGGACGAAAGUCUGACGGAGCGACGCUGCGUGAAGGAUGACGGCCCGCGGGUUGUAAACUUCUUUUCUCGAAGAAGAAGCUCUGACGGUAUUCGAGGAAUAAGCAUCGGCUAACUCCGUGCCAGCAGCCGCGGU
rnacentral:rRNA from 1 species